rnacentral:lncRNA from 1 species
CUGGUGCAGAGAGGGAGACACCCCCACAGAUGGAGACUUCCUUUACAAAUGCAAAUGUCUCUCAUCAAAGGGCAAGCAAAUUCUACUCCUCAGAGCCUCCUUCUCAUCUGCAGUUUUUAACAGUAACCAGCCUAAAAUAAUCCUCAUCAAUACUUACCUAGAUAUUAAAAUGGCAUCCUUUGGAUCUGGUUCUCUCUUAUGGUUUGGUUUAGCUUUGUAGUCACAAUGCUUUGAUAAAUCAAUGUUAGUACUAAAUUAUUAUGAUUGACACUGACUGUCUUAAAAUGAAAAUGAGGUGAUUCUCUGCAGACUCCUGUGAUAGCCGCACUUUGACCUCCAGGCUCCUCGGGGCCUGAUGACCUCUGGUUGCUCCUUUUCUGAACAUUUAUAGUGCAAAAGAAUGACCGUGGGCAAGUAGCUUCAUCUUAUUGAGCUUCAGUUUCCUUGUCUGUGUAAGGGGGAUUGUAGUGUUUCUCUUGAUAGGGCUGUCAGGAGCAGCCUAUGGGUUGGACAAAAUAGCACAGCAGUUGUAAGUGCUACAAAAAGUUAGAUCCUUGUUCCUUUUUCUUCAGUCCAUUUUAAAAAUAGCAGCUGAUUACGUAUAUAUAUGUAUCUAUAAUUACAGGGUAAGAGCCAACAGGCCAGACAUCCCUUUCUUCAAAAAACUAACCACAUCUAUGGUCUACGAUUGCAGUCUGGCUGAGUGAGAGCGUCACCCCGUGGGCAGCACAGACUUAACCAUGUGUUCAGCCUCGUGGCCGCGCCUGCAGCAUCCUUCUGAGGAACAAGCUGGCAACCCUAGGGUUGCAGGAAGAGCACAGGUUUUAGAAUCAGACACACCUGAGCUUGAAUUUCAGCUCUACCAUUGACUGGCUGUGGAGAGCCACGCAAGCCGUUUCACCCCCCUGGGCCUCUGUUUCCUCCUCUGCAGAAUGGGUAUGAUAGAUAAUCCCUGCUUCCCAGGGAUGGCAUGAGAUUAACUAAGAUGAUGGGUACAACAGCACUUUGCAAACUGGAAAGCCCUAUACGUACACGUGUUUAUUGUAAGGACCAUUGCAGUAUGACAGUGGCAUUAUUAAAUGACAUUUUCCUCCUCGUGUCAUCUGCCUGGCGAAUUUCUGGGUCAGUGUCCUCCACUACAUGGUGAAUCCUGGACUGUCUCUGUUCUGUCUGCCCGACAUACCACAGGGCCAGCCUCAAUGGACACAGCUGAGUGACGGAUGAGUGACUCACUAAGGACACAGUAGAGCAAGCUGCGCCCUCGCCCCCCAUCUCCAGCUGUCUUCCCCUCCGAGUCUCUUCCUGGACUCCACCCGCCCUCCACUGCCCCUCCCUGGCCUUCUCCCUCCUCAUUUCACACAUGCAGCCAGAUGCGGAGCUCCUGUUCUCCGCCUGAAGGAUUAAAUGCAGUGAUGAGAAAUGUGUUUUUUUAUUGUUUUAGGAAGCUGAGCAGGGCAGGGGCGAGGGAGGGAGAAAUUGAAUCAGGGGCAACGAUUUAUCUUGUGCUAAAGUGCCUACGAGGGUUCCGGGAAGGCCUUCUCUUCCUGCACCCCUCCCCCAGUGCUGACCCCCCUUUACUGGGGAGGACAGCUGGCAGCCCACAUGCGCCCGCCCUUGUGUGUGCGUGAGCGGGUGGGGCCUGAUGGCCUUGAAUGGAACUCUAGUUUUGCUCAGGGACCUCCCAUCAUUGCAGACACUUACCUUCCCUGCCUUCACAGCCUUUGCCUGGGUUUCCUAGGCAUUGAGGGGCCGCAGAGAUGCAGUAGGAAGGAGACAGGGUGACUUGGUUCUGCCAUUGCUGGGUGUGCCACCUUGAGCCUCUUUCUCUCAGCCUGUGUCUUGAGCCUGCAUCUUGAGCCUGUAUCCCUCUGUGAAAACGGAUAAGGACAGAAAUACAUGUCUCACGUGGGCUGGCUGGCCGGGUCCCAUGACCUCCUAGGCACCAAACCCCAAUUUUGUCCUUGCGCUCAGAGAGGUUCUGCCUUUGGGGCUGAUUCACACUGACAGUUACCUAGAAGAAGCAGAUGCAUAGAAGCCAGCAUGCUGCCUGUGGUUUAUACAGAGAAAUAGAACUGCCAGAUGGAUGGAAUGCCCACCUUGGCAAGGCUGAUGCAACACAGACCCAGGCCCAAAGGUGGGCCCUGCCUCUUCCUUGCUGUGUUAAUCCCUCAAGGUGGAGCAUUGGUUUAUACACCGAUGGGAAGAAGAAUAUCCCUGUAAAAUGGGAGGAAGAAUAAUACCUACCUGAUAGAGUUGUGUAGGGAAUGUGAAUUGUUGUAUGUUAAAUGCUAGCUCUGUCUGACAUUUAGAAAACAUCACAAAACGUUAGCUGUUGCUGUUAGUAGUAGUUGGCCUUAAUUAAGCAGGCCUUUCACCCAUCAGUUGGGUAGAUAUUCUGAGAAAGGAGGAGUGGUUCAAUCCGCUUAGCCAAAAUGCUCUCUCCCAGGGCGAGAGCUGGGAUGGGCACGGUCCAUGUUUGCUUCUGGGAGAGCCGUUUUUCCUGUUUCCGUUGCUGACCGAGCUUCUGUACCUGCCAGACCUAAUGCAACGACUGGGUUUCUGCUUCCUCAGCUGCAGUUGCAAUCUCGUCUUGCCUCUCUGAGAGUCCUCCUUAAAGGAAGAGAGGGGCGAUUUGGCUGUUCCCAAACUCCUCGCUCACAGGGUCAGCACCAGUCCCGAGGCUCCCACUGGUGACGGGAUUAAUUAUAAUAACGACAUGAGCGGUAACACUUGCUGAGCACUUCUACCCACCAGGCGACUGUUCCAGGGGCGUUACAUACAGACGUGACCCAACAACCUCUGAGGCAGGUCCCGUUACCGUCCCCAUUUUACAGGUGAGGAAACUGAGGUCCAGAGAGGUUAAGUAACUUUGCCCAAGGUCCCAGACUUGGUCAAUCAUCCAUCCCCACUGGUGUGGGAUUUGUUACACCACAAUGAUAUCUUUGUACGUAAGUCAUUUUGCACCUGUGGAAAGUUAUCUGCAGGGUGAGUUCCUAGAAGUGAAGUCCUGGGUCCAGUUUUGCCAAAUUGCCCUCCAUAUACAUUUUGUCAUUGCACGUUCCCACCAGCAAAGUGUGACUGCCUGCUCCUCGAAAAGAGUAUUACCAACUUUAAAAUUAAAUUUCUUUCCAGCUUUAUUGAAGUAUAAUUGACUUUUUUUUUCAAUGAUAGAUGAAAACCCAUAGACAUCCUGCUCCAGGUUUUGUAUGUUUCCUUGUUAACGAGGUUGAGGGUCUUAUCGUAUGUCUGAGAGCUAUUUUUGUUUCUUUCCUGUGGUCUGAUUCUUUACCCAUUUUUAAAAUUGUCUUUGGUAUUACCUGAUUCAUUUCCAGUUCUUCUUUAAGAAGUUAG